UCUCCGUAGGUGAACCUGCGGAGGGAUCAUUACAAGUGGCCCCGGUCUUACCACCGGGAUGUUCAUAACCCUUUGUUGUCCGACUCUGUUGCCUCCGGGGCGACCCUGCCUUCGGGCGGGGGCUCCGGGUGGACACUUCAAACUCUUGCGUAACUUUGCAGUCUGAGUAUACUUAAUUAAUAAAUUAAAACUUUUAACAACGGAUCUCUUGGUUCUG
rnacentral:misc_RNA from 1 species